rnacentral:rRNA from 1 species
UGCGGUUUACGGGCUUUACGAAUUCUCUUUGACUAGAGAUCCAAAGCGGGUGCGAGACCCGUACGUAUUGCCUGUUUGUCGUACGCGGUUGCUUCUUGGAGUAGGGUUGUUUGAGAUCGCAGCCCAAAGCAGGUGGUAUACUUCAUCUAAAGCUAAAUACGACUACGAAUCCGAUAGCAAACAAGUACCGUGAGGGAAAGUUGCAAAGUACUUUGAAGAGAGAGUUCAAGAGGACGUGAAACCGAUAGGAUGGAAGCAGAUGAAGUUGACGAACGAGUGUCGUAUUCAGGGUUGCAUCUUGUGUGCAGUCUGUUCUUGCGGCCGAUGUGGGCCGGCGGCUUUGGUCAAUGCACUGUGUCAAGCGUCGAUGGUGACCCUGCGGAGGGAUAAUCGGUCGGCGUGCGAUGCGUGGUAUGGCUAGGGUGCGCCGGUCUUGAAGUCAGCGCCUCAUCUGACCCGUCUUGAAACACGGACCAAGGAGUGUAUCGUUUACGCAAGUCUUAGAGUGUAUCAAAACUUUGAGGCGCAACGAAAGUGAAUGUAGCUCGAUCUACUGACUUGGGAUGCGUUGUCUCCUGUGGACAGCGCUGGACCAUAGUUAUAUCGC